UGAAAACGCGUUGCUGGGUUCACUGUCA
rnacentral:piRNA from 1 species